rnacentral:rRNA from 1 species
GAUGAACGCUGGCGGCGUGCCUAAUACAUGCAAGUCGAGCGAACGGACGAGAAGCUUGCUUCUCUGAUGUUAGCGGCGGACGGGUGAGUAACACGUGGAUAACCUACCUAUAAGACUGGGAUAACUUCGGGAAACCGUAGCUAAUACCGGAUAAUAUUUUGAACCGCAUGGUUCAAAAGUGAAAGACGGUCUUGCUGUCACUUAUAUAUGGAUCCGCGCUGCAUUAGCUAGUUGGUAAGGUAACGGCUUACCAAGGCAACGAUGCAUAGCCGACCUGAGAGGGUGAUCGGCCACACUGGAACUGAGACACGGUCCAGACUCCUACGGGAGGCAGCAGUAGGGAAUCUUCCGCAAUGGGCGAAAGCCUGACGGAGCAACGCCGCGUGAGUGAUGAAGGUCUUCGGAUCGUAAUACUCUGUUAUUAGGGAAGAACAUAUGUGUAAGUAACUGUGCACAUCUUGACGGUACCUAAUCAGAAAGCCACGGCUAACUACGUG